UACGGGGGGGGCAAGCGUUGUUCGGAAUUACUGGGCGUAAAGGGCGCGUAGGCGGUUCGCUAAGUCGGAUGUGAAAACUCUGGGCUCAACCCAGAGCCUGCAUCCGAAACUGGCGGGCUAGAGUUCUGGAGGGGGUAGCGGAAUUCCUGGUGUAGCGGUGAAAUGCGUAGAUGUCAGGAGGAACACCGGUGGCGAAAGCGACUCUCUGGACGGCAACUGACGCUGAGGCACGAAAGCGUGGGGAGCAAACAGG
rnacentral:rRNA from 1 species